rnacentral:pre_miRNA from 14 species
UAUUAACCUGAUCAGCCCCGGAGUUGCCUGUUUCAUCACUAACCCCGGGCCUGAAGAGGUUGACAA